GAUCUGGCUCAGGAUGAACGCUGGCGGCGUGCCUAACACAUGCAAGUCGAACGAUGAAACCGCCCUUGGGCGGACAUGAAGUGGCGAACGGGUGAGUAACACGUGACCGACCUGCCCCCCGCCCAGGGACAGCCCCCCGAAAGGGGGAUUAAUACCUGGUACUCCGGAAGCGGCGCAUGCCGCGUCCGGGAAAGCUCAGGCGGCGGGGGAUGGGGUCGCGGCCCAUCAGGUAGACGGCGGGGCAGAGGCCCACGUGCCGACG
rnacentral:rRNA from 1 species